ensembl:snRNA U6 U6 spliceosomal RNA
GUGCUCACUUUGGCAGCACGUAGACUAAAAUUGGAACAAUACAGAGAUUAGCAUGGCCCCUGCACAAGGAUUUUGUGCAAAUUCAUAAAGCAUGCCGAAUUUUU